rnacentral:rRNA from 1 species
AUACGUAGGUGGCAAGCGUUAUCCGGAUUUAUUGGGUUUAAAGGGUGCGCAGGCGGCCAUUUAAGUCAGCGGUUAAAUCGUGGGGCUCAACCCCAUUCUGCCGUUGAUACUGGGUGGCUUGAUUGCGGUCGAGGUUGGCGGAAUUCGUUGUGUAGCGGUGAAAUGCAUAGAUAUGACGAAGAACACCGAUUGCGUAGGCAGCUGACCAGACCGCAAAUGACGCUCAUGCACGAAAGUGCGGGGGUCGAACAGGAUUAGAUACCCUGGUAGUCCGCACAGUAAACGAUGAAUACUUGUUUUCGGCGAUAUAAUGUCGGAGGCAAAGCGAAAGCGAUAAGUAUUCCACCUGGGGAGUACGCCGGCAACGGUGAAACUUAAAGGAAUUGACGGGG